AUACGGAGGGGGCUAGCGUUGUUCGGAAUUACUGGGCGUAAAGCGCGCGUAGGCGGGCUGGUCAGUCAGGGGUGAAAUCCCGGGGCUCAACCCCGGAACUGCCUUUGAUACUGCCAGUCUAGAGGUCGAGAGAGGUGAGUGGAAUUCCGAGUGUAGAGGUGAAAUUCGUAGAUAUUCGGAGGAACACCAGAGGCGAAGGCGGCUCACUGGCUCGAUUCUGACGCUGAGGUGCGAAAGCGUGGGGAGCAAACAGGAUUAGAAACCCCAGUAGUCC
rnacentral:rRNA from 1 species